AACACACACACACGCACACAAAGAAACAAACAAAAGAAACAAGUGAGAACAUAUCAAGGCAUAUCAUCAUCAUCAUCGUAUUAUUCCAAUUGUAAUCUCAUCGUCGAUCAAUCGGUAUUCAUUUAUCAUCAU
rnacentral:ribozyme from 1 species